rnacentral:rRNA from 1 species
UGGGGAAUAUUGCACAAUGGGGGAAACCCUGAUGCAGCGACGCCGCGUGGAGGAUGACGGCCUUCGGGUUGUAAACUCCUUUUGUCAGAGACAAUGGUGAUGGUACCUGACGAAUAAGCCACGGCUAACUCUGUGCCAGCAGCCGCGGUAAGACAGAGGUGGCGAGUGUUGUUCGGAAUUACUGGGCUUAAAGGGCGCGUAGGCGGUGGUGUAAGUCUGGGGUGGAAUGCUACAGCUCAACUGUAGAGCUGCCUUGGAAACUGCAUUACUUGAGUCGGUGAGGGGAAGGCGGAAUUCCUGGUGUAGCGGUGAAAUGCGUAGAUAUCAGGAGGAAGGUCUGUGGCGAAGGCGGCCUUCUGGCACUAGACUGACGCUGAGGCGCGAAAGCGUGGGGAGCAAACAG